GACGAACGCUGGCGGCGUGCCUAAUACAUGCAAGUAGAACGCUGAAGGAGGAGCUUGCUUCUCUGGAUGAGUUGCGAACGGGUGAGUAACGCGUAGGUAACCUGCCUGGUAGCGGGGGAUAACUAUUGGAAACGAUAGCUAAUACCGCAUAAUAGCAGUUAUUGCAUGAUAACUGUUUGAAAGGUGCAAUUGCACCACUACCAGAUGGACCUGCGUUGUAUUAGCUAGUUGGUGGGGUAACGGCUCACCAAGGCGACGAUACAUAGCCGACCUGAGAGGGUGAUCGGCCACACUGGGACUGAGACACGGCCCAGACUCCUACGGGAGGCAGCAGUAGGGAAUCUUCGGCAAUGGACGGAAGUCUGACGGAGCAACGCCGCGUGAGUGAAGAAGGUUUUCGGAUCGUAAAGCUCUGUUGUAAGAGAAGAACGAGUGUGAGAGUGGAAAGUUCACACUGUGACGGUAUCUUACCAGAAAGGGACGGCUAACUACGUG
rnacentral:rRNA from 1 species